rnacentral:rRNA from 1 species
UACGUAGGGGGCUAGCGUUGUCCGGAUUUACUGGGCGUAAAGGGUGAGUAGGCGGUUGCAUAAGUCAGAUGUAAAAGGCGUGGGCUUAACUUACGUUAGCAUUUGAAACUGUGCGACUUGAGUGCAGGAGAGGUAAGUGGAAUUCCUAGUGUAGCGGUGAAAUGCGUAGAUAUUAGGAGGAACACCAGUGGCGAAGGCGACUUACUGGACUGUAACUGACGCUGAGUCACGAAAGCGUGGGUAGCAAACAGGAUUAGAUACCCUGGUAGUCCACGCUGUAAACGAUGAGUGCUAGGUGUUGGGUAGCGAUACUCAGUGCCGAAGUUAACACAAUAAGCACUCCGCCUGGGGAGUACGGUCGCAAGACUGAA